CCUCUGCAACUGGAGCCUCACGACCUCUCCAGAGGGCCUGUUUCCUGCUCCCAUUCAAGAGAAUUUGAAGAACCUUCCAGGUAUGUGGAGAGGAGUCCCAACCCCCGCCCCCCACCACAAGUGAUGAUCUGGUUGAUUGUGUGAGCAGAACUCACCCUCUGGAACCCAGCCCUCCAUGCCCCUUCCAGGAGGGGUGCAGUCCGGAGACCCCGAUAAAAAGCCCGAAGCUUCGUCCCUCGGGGAAGUCCCAGGCAAGCCUCAUGCCUCAGUUUCCCCAACUGAGCAGCGGGGCCAUCUCUGAGCCCUGCCCUGGCCUUGGGGCUCAGGGAUUCCGAGCCCAUGGAGAUGGAUGUGAGGCAAGAACCUUGGCCCUGAAGUGCCCGCCUCCGAGGACUGGGGCCAAAAAACAGGAAGGCUUUGCGUGGGCCAGUAGAGUUUCCUCUCUAUGACCCUGAACUUCCAGGAUUUGUGACUCAGAGGAUGCCUGGAUCCCAUGUGUGUGGGGAUCUGACUCUGCUUCCUUAAGAGUUUCCUUCCCCGGCUCCUCCCCUGCUCCACAACACCCCGAGGCUCCCACUGACCCCUGAUCCAGGCUCCAGACACUGCCUGGCAUUCAAGGCCCCCAUCUCCACUGCCAGCCCCGUUGCUGCCCACCUCAGCCUGCAAGCCUCCUCCCCACACCUGCCAGGUCACUCUGGCCUCUCUGGUGUUCUCUUUGUUCUGUGCCUUCUUUUAUUUUAUUUUAUUUAUUUAUGUAUUUUUGUCUUUUUCUGGCCGCACCCGUGGCAUAUGGAGGUUCCCAGGCUAGGGGUCCGGUUGGAGCUGUAGCCGCCAGCCUACACCACAGCCAUGCCAACUCAGGAUUGGAGCCGCAUCUGUGACCUACACCACAGCUCAUGGCAACGCCGGAUCCUUAACCCACUGAGCAAGGCCAGGGAUCGAACCCGCAACUUCAUGGUUCCUAGUCAGUUCACUAACUGCUGAGCCACGACGGGAACGCUUGUUUUUUAUUUUAUUAUUAGGGCCGCACCUCUGGCAUAUGGAAAUUCCCAGGCUUGGGGCUGAAUCGGGGCUGCAGCUGACAGCCACAGCCACAGCAACGCCAGAUCCAAGCCUCGGCGAUCUGCAACGCAGCUCAGGACAAUGCCAGAUCCUUAACAAACUGAGGGAGGCCAAGGAUUGAACCCAAAUCCUCCGUGGCAUAUGGAGGUUCCCAGGCUAGGGGUCUAGUUGGAGCUGUAGCUGCUGGCCUACGCCAGAGCCACAGCAACACGGGGUCCGGGCAGCUCACAGCAAUGCCGGAUCCUUAACCCACUGAGGGAGGCCAGGGAUCGAACCAACGUCCCCAUGGAUACUAGUGGGUUCAUUAUUUUGUUACCGCUGAGCCACGAUGGGAACUCACAGCUCCUUUUUUUCUCCUGGUUUUGGCACCUCGGAGGUAGAAGGAUAUUCAUGUUCUCUCUCUGCCCACAGCUGCCCCAGCCCCACAGAAGCACCCUGGGGCCCCUGAAACCCAAACUGCGCUUUUCUUGCCUUGAAUUUGCUUCUCUUAUCAGAUCCCCAACUUACAGAUGGCACCAUCGUCCCUGCACCAAAGACCAGGAUGCUGACCUCCCAGACCCCUCCCUGCCACCCCGAAAGCCCCACAGCCCAGCUUUCAUCUCCUAUCUGGUCCCCCGCCUCCAGUCCUGCCCCCUUGUAUCCUCCUCAAGGUAGCAAAGCAGUCUUUCCAGAACCCAGAUCUCAUCUGUUUCUCUCCUGCUCUAAACCAGGGUCUCUCCCCUUCAACACUGUUGACAUUUGAGGCCAGAUCAUUCCCUGGGGUGGGGCCAUCCUGGGCAUGGUGGGGUGUGGAGCAGCCUCCCUGGCCCCACUCACUCCAUGCCAGGAUCCCUACCAGUCGUGACAACCAAAUGUCCUCGGACUCCACUCAGUAUGCCCUUGGGGGGGACAACCACCCCCAUGAGAACUGCUCUAAAGGCUCCUAGGCCCCCCAGUGCCCUUGAAAUGAAGCCCCCUCCCUUUCACUUCCAACCCUGGCAUCUGCACAUGCUGUUCCCUCUGCCCGGAAGCCCUUCCUCCUGCUCCCAGUAAUCUGCACAGUUAUUCCCAGAAACCUCUCAGACACCUCCUCCAGGAAGACCUCCCAGAUCAGCCCAAACUGACUUCCUCCAGACUCCUGGAGCAACCCCCACGAGUGCCCGCUUACCCUGUCUUCUAAACGCCUGAUUCUCUGUUCAUCUUCCCCACUGGACUCUGAGACCCCCGAGAGGGCAGGGCUCAGUCUGUCUUGAUCACCAGUGUGUCCCCACCACCCAGCACAAGGCCUGGCAUAUAGGAGAAGCUCAAUGAAUAAUAAAAGUAGCAAAC
rnacentral:lncRNA from 1 species